rnacentral:rRNA from 1 species
UGGGGAAUUUUGGACAAUGGGCGCAAGCCUGAUCCAGCCAUGCCGCGUGUGUGAAGAAGGCCUUCGGGUUGUAAAGCACUUUCGGCCGGAACGAAAUCGCCUUUGUUAAUAGCGAGGGUGGAUGACGGUACCGGAAGAAGAAGCACCGGCUAACUACGUGCCAGCAGCCGCGGUAAUACGUAGGGUGCGAGCGUUAAUCGGAAUUACUGGGCGUAAAGGGUGCGCAGGCGGCGUCGCAAGUCAGGCGUGAAAUCCCCGGGCUUAACCUGGGAACUGCGUCUGAUACUGGAUGGCUUGAGGUUGGGAGAGGGAUGCGGAAUUCCAGGUGUAGCGGUGAAAUGCGUAGAUAUCUGGAGGAACACCGGUGGCGAAGGCGACAUCCUGGACCAAUUCUGACGCUGAGGAGCGAAAGCCAGGGGAGCAAACGGGAUUAGAUACCCAAGUAGUCCCUGAGCGGGCUGGCAAGGCGCAU